UAUUAUAGAUCUAAUAUGUUGAUAUUAUUGUUGGCUUUAAUGGAAUAGUGAUAUGAUUAUGUGAAUAGUGUGAAUGUGAUUAUAUUUGUUAUUUGGAUUAAUAUGGAUUUUACAGAUUUUGCGUCCUCCUUCUUUUUCUGAUUCCGAGGACGGAAUCCCUAUAAGGAGGGUAGAUUGUAAUAACCCGGAUUUUAAAAAUAUUUUUAUUAAUAUUAUAAAUGAUUUUUUAAAAAGAAAGGAAUAAGAUUUGAUAUUUUAUUCCAGUUUAAUGAGUUUUCAAAGGUUUAUAUUUAAACCUCGGGUUAUUGUGUUAUUGAUAAAUAAUUGUAUUUUCAAAACUGAUUUUCAUAUAUUGUUUUGAGAAUUCUGUAUGAAUAUUAUGUGAAUAUAUGUGUGAUGUGAGUAAGUGGUAUUGGUGG
rnacentral:lncRNA from 1 species